UUUAAGAUCAAACACCCACUACCGUAGCCCUCGUCGUCUUUAACCCUGAAAACCGCUGUUGCUUUCUCACACACGCCCUCUCUCACGCCUUUAUCAUCGCGUCGGUUACCGUGCUGCCGUCACCAUGCCGCGUCGUUGCCACCCCUGCUCGGUCGGCAUAACAGUCACCCUCUGCUUGGCACACCCACAAUGCCAGUUCAGUCCCCGCGCCGCCGCGACGUCGCCGUGUUGGUCAGACUCGUUUUCUCUCAUUUCCCAUUCGCCGCUGUCACCACGCCGCCGUGUUGCUCAGUUCCAACAGUUGGAGAAUGAUACUGAGGGAUGCCAACAGAUAUCUAGGGAGUGACGUCUAGAUUCUUCUUCAUCUACUGGAUAAUCAAACUUAUGACCGAAAGGAUAUUGCUGAUGUUCGUGUUGAGUGGGCAAGCCUGUUGCUGGAACAAAUAUAAUAUGAUAGAUUUUUAUUUUAGCUAUGCAAUAUGUCGAUAUUUUAUACUGUAAAUUUUGAAUCGAAUUUUGGGUAUGACAUUUGUAUUAAUACUUGCUACAAGAUUGUUGGAUGAAAUAUUUUGAUUUUG